rnacentral:rRNA from 1 species
UGGGGAAUAUUGGACAAUGGGCGAAAGCCUGAUCCAGCCAUGCCGCGUGGAUGAUGAAGGCCCUAGGGUUGUAAAGUCCUUUCGACGGGGAAGAUAAUGACGGUACCCGUAGAAGAAGCCCCGGCUAACUUCGUGCCAGCAGCCGCGGUAAUACGAAGGGGGCUAGCGUUGCUCGGAAUCACUGGGCGUAAAGCGCACGUAGGCGGAUUGUUAAGUCAGGGGUGAAAUCCCGGAGCUCAACUCCGGAACUGCCUUUGAUACUGAUAGUCUUGAGUUCGGGAGAGGGGAGUGGAACUGCGAGUGUAGAGGGGAAAUUCGUAGAUAUUCGCAAGAACACCAGUGGCGAAGGCGGCUCACUGGCCCGAUACUGACGCUGAGGUGCGAAAGCGUGGGGAGCAAACA